rnacentral:rRNA from 1 species
UCGAAUUUUGAAGUCCGUCUUGAGCUGGCACUGCAGGUGCUCGGUCGGGUCUUUCAUCCAUUCUACCCCUGUGCACUUUGAAACGUAGGUCUGGGUUGCGGUGCUCGCUGUAUGCGUGUGCUUCGCUUCGCCUCGUUUUAUUACAAACACCUUUUAUUGUCUUGUCGAAUGUAGUUGCUCAGUCAUGAGCUAAAAGUUAAUACAACUUUCAACAACGGAUCUCUUGGCUCUCGCAUCGAUGAAGAACGCAGCGAAAUGCGAUAAGUAAUGUGAAUUGCAGAAUUCAGUGAAUCAUCGAAUCUUUGAACGCACCUUGCGCUCCUUGGUAUUCCGAGGAGCAUGCCUGUUUGAGUGUCAUGUUAUUCUCAAUCCCGUCUGCUUUGCGGCCGUCGGGUUUGGAUGUGGAGGCUUGUGCUGGCCCCUCGCGGUCGGCUCCUCUUGAAUGCAUUAGCGGGGCUUAUGCUCGAUGCAACGGUGUAAUACUUUCUUUUCACCGGAGUAACUUGCAAUGGAAAGUCCGCUUCUAAUCGUCUCGCAUGAGACAUUGUAAAGGGAUGGAUUUCUCUUUGACACCUUUGACCU